rnacentral:sRNA from 1 species
ACUGGGUGCCGUGGCGCAUGCCUGUAAUCCCAGCAGCUAGGGAGGCUGAGGCAGGAGGAUCACAAGUUCAAAGCCAGCCUUAACAAAAGCAAGGCACUAAGCAACUCAGUGAGACCCUGUUUCUA